rnacentral:lncRNA from 1 species
CGCACAAAUGGCCCAGCGUCGUCCAGGUCGAGCUGGGGUAGGCCGUCAUUGUAAAUAAGAAUUUGUUCUUAACUGACUUGCCUAGUUAAAUAAAGGUUACAUUUAAAAAUGUGAAAUGUAACAUGAGACAGGAGAGGCCUGUAGGAUGAAGGUUGGUAUUUAACACAGCCCUUUUUCUUCCUUUCUUCUCUUCUCUUUUAUCCUCCUCCACCUCCUUUCUUUAUCCCUUUCCUAUUUGUCUUCCUUCAUCGCUUACUCUCGUUUCACACAUUUUCUCUAUCCCUCCAUAUCUUCCCUUCAUCCCUCUAUCUCAUCCCUCUAUCUCAUUCCUCUAUCCCGCCACCCCAUCCCUCUCUCAUUCCUCCUUCCCUCCAUUCCAUCUCAUCAAUGAUCUUGUAAGUCUUCUACAUUUGUCUCUCUUCCUCAAGGCAACACCGACUUCCAUCCUUUCUACCCUCAAUCUACCUAUCCACACCUUCACCUCUCCAUCCAUCCAUUCUCCCUCCAUCCUCUUCUCUCCUGCUCUCAUUUUCUCCAAUCCUUCUCUCAUCUUGUCUUCCCUGGCCUAACACUAAUGAGUGUGCCAGGGAGGGGUCGAUACAGGAUGGAGUGAUUGUUCUGAGCAAAGAGUGGAAAAUGAAUGUGUCUGCCAUGCAUCAUCCGUGUGUGUGUACAUUACUGGCCCUGGCCUUCUUGCUGUAGCUUUUCUCUGAGGCACCGGAUAAUCCAGACCUGUUUUACUGGGCUCUUGGGUUGGGAGGGAAACUAAGUUGGUGAGAAUAAACCAUGAUUCAUGGUGAUGAAAAUGUCCUGAAUUGAAAAAUGAUUAUGGAAAUGUGUUUAUCUGUGUUCUGUCUCCCGGUUCCUGGAAGGGGUUACCAUCGAGGUGGACCAGAUCCAUACCCAUCUGUUGAUGAUGCUGGAGGACUACAUGGUCAACCGCCUCACCUCUGUCACACGCCUCUUCUCCAACUCCUUCAAUGACAAGUUCUGUGACCAGAUGAUGGCAAUGAAGAAAGAUAGGAAAUAUAGGAAAAAGGAAGGAAGCCUGCUGAGUUUGGGCUCACAUGUUUUGAAGUCGCUAUUAAGGCUUCAUGCAACACCUGUGGUGGUGGUGAUAAACCACAAGGGAGGCCAGCGCAGCUAUGACUGUGUGACUAUGAACACACAGGAAGAGUCCUUGACACAUACACCCUGACACCACCUCAGUGUGGCCUGCUCUACAUGAGAAGUGAGUGGCCAUAUUACAAUUAAUGAUUAAUUAGGCGCCAGCUAGAGAGCAGAGCCAGUAGCAAAGCCACCGUCUCGCCUCUCGUUAUCUCUCUGACAGAUAACCUUGUAAAGGGACAGAAAAGGUGACGGGGUGCCUGCCCACCUCUGCACAAACAGCAUCCAUCCUUAAACCUAGUGGUAAUAAUGUGUAAAUUGGCCCUCUGUUCGACUGCCUCUCCUCUUCUCUUUGAGGGGGCUGACAUCAAGGCCACCGUGGCCACCAGAUCAAACACACAGGAAAACAGUUAGAAAGGGCAAGAGGAUGAGGUGGUGGAGUGUGUAGGGAGG